ensembl:lncRNA
UUUAUAUUUUAAUUAUGCGUGAACAGUGAGUUUAUAUUCUGUCCAAAAAAAAGGAAAAAAGAAAAGUCUUAUACAGCAAUGACACGAGCUAAUCACAAAUAAAAGUGCAAAUGAUCAGUGGGAGUGAAGAUGAACACUUGAAGAUGAAAAUUUGGCAGUUACAAAGUUUCAUUAUUAAGAUUCUUUAAACAGUAAAUUGAUGAAAUUUAAAUGUGUCUGAACUCAUCAGGACAAGAAACAUUGCCUUUAAUGGAUGGAACCCAACCUUCAAUUACAUGUUUUCAUGAAGUAUAACUAAACAAUAAAACUAAUACACUACAUGUCCAGAAAAACCCAUUUCCCCUGCGUCACAAAGAUCAUUGAUGACAACUGCCCAAAAUCGAACACUAAAUUAUUGGCCCUUAAGUCAGUGUAACAGUGUUUUAGUUUUGUUAAUAAGAGUGAAAAUAAUAACAUGGCACACACCGGUGGGAAAAAUUACUUGGCCCGAAAAUGUGAAAUAAUGUGGUUGACACAUCAGCACCAGAACAGUUUAAAUAAAUACACCCAAACAAAUAAAACAAACAUGUUUUGACUUCAGGUUAACUGAAGAGAGUCGAAUAAAUAGACAAAUGUACAGGUUGUCACAUAAGAUCAGCAAAAAAAUUUGAAAUUUCAUCUUCAAACAUAAAAUGAUCCUGUACAAUCAUGAUUCAAAAUAUUUGACAAUCAGAAGAGAAGAGAAACCUUUGGAUGUUUAAAUGCUGAACAGUUCACAGAACAUUACAGUGAAUUCCAGCUCCGUGGUUUUACCGUUGGACUGCACUAGAACGGAUUUAGUUCACAAUUUAAAAUGAUCCCAUUUAUCUUACACUGGACAUUUGCUCAGGCCCUCAAUUCAUCCUGUGUCUGAAUUAAACCUUCUUCUAAUUGGCUGUCCCUCUCUCUCUCUCUCUCACACACUCACACACACACACAGCAUGUGGGUGGGGCCACUGUGCUCACUGCCAGAGUCCUGUGUCUAAGAUGACCAUAUUUGGGGUAUCCACCCUGAUUGACUUCAUUCAUCUAAAUAUGAGGAGGAAAGUAAACCCACAAAAACAAAAACAAAAAACCAAAAAAACCAAAACCAAAACAAAACAAACAAAAAAAAAACAAAACAGGAAACUUGCUGUUUUGAGCGAUCUGAAGCCUGGGGUUUCCAAUUACAGGGAUUAUUUCUAUGUUGCUGAUGUUUAUUAUGAGCAUCAUCUGAAAUGUACACAUAUCACAGGGGAAACUGAAAAGCAGGAAAACAGGUUGAGCAGAAAGUGAAUUACCCCACUGUGACAAACAUUCGUGGAAACAGGAAAUAUGAGAGCGAAUGUCAGUCAGCACUUCUGGUUUUACAGAACAUUAGAAGGAGUGAAGACAAAAACAUGUUCUGUAAAUUUAACUGAGCCGACCUUCGACUGUUGUUCAGUUCAGCUCUGUUCAUAAAUAAGUACACAACAGAAAGUCUCAUCAUUUACCUGUCUGAGAAUCACAAUCACAUUUACAUUCACAACAAUGUGCAAAAAGUAGCUGUUAUACUCGGAUUUAAUAAAUAAUUAUAAUAUUUUUGUGUACCAUCCUUUACAAAUUAACGGCUUGAAAAGGUUUGUCCAAAGAGAAUUAAACUUAAAGUUCUUCGGUCCAAAUGACAAUUUGGUUUUCCAGUAAUUUCAUCAUUAAAAAAAAAAAAAAAAAGUUUACAUUUAUCAUGUUGAAUGAGUCGAAGACAAUUGAAUAUUAAGUAAAUGUUCAAUAUUAUCCACAUUUACAUGGGUACAUCUGAAAAUGCUGUUUGCACAUCAAAGAGGUUUCCAUCCAGGAAAAGCAUUCUAAACAAAAUUAUGAACAUAUGACACUGUAUCAUAUGUUCAUAAUACUUCAGUAUAUUAAUGGAAGUUAUUGAGGAGGAAACAAAAAAAAUUAAUUUAAUUUUAAAAAACAAAACAAAAACCCAAGUUUGAAAUCAGGCAGGUCUGCACUUUUUCCUUCUGCCUAGAACUUCCUGCUGAUACUUAAAAAAAAAAAUUAAAAAAAAUAUUAAACACACUUAUAACUGCAGUAUUGUUAUUUCAGUGUGGACUGAAUCCAAACCUGAAGACACAUCUUUGUUUUCAGAUGUACCCUGUUAUGAAAAACAUCCCAGUGGCCUUUGACUUCAACCUGAGUCUUUAACCCACUCCGUGGAUUAAACCCUGCACUCAGAUUACCAGUGUGCACACAAUAAAUAAAACUGAAGUGCAAAAAUCAGUACACUUACUGCAGUGAUGAGCCGUCAGAACAGGACUGGAAGAAUAUAAUUACAGAAUAUCAUCUCUAACAGGUGAUUGAUGUACAGUGUAAGGCUGUAACAGCACAACGCUCCCAGGACUUCAGGAAAACCUAUUUUAAAGUGACCUCUGAAAGCAGCACGUUACACCAGAAAAUAACGAAAUGAAGUACACUUAGACAUACAAAGAUGCAAAGUGAAACGGCUCACUACAAACUCUGUAGCACAAACUGGAAAAAAAAAUUAAACGCUACAGCAGUUUGAGGACAGGUAAAAUCUACCAACAACUCCGCAGAAAACUUUAUUCACUAUUAGUCACUUAAAAAAAAAAUGUGCACAGGACGACAGCAUUUACUGGAAGACUGUCUGUUUUACUUAGGAUUCUAAAGUCAGGCUCAAUUAAGGAGAACUCGGUGGGUACCAUGUACCCCGCUUGUUUGAUUAGCAUGAUUAGAGUACACAGAGGCCCAGGCUUAAGCAGGGCACUUAAACAGCUGCCUUUAUGAAAAUUGUGUUACGCAGUUAACAAACUGUUUCAAUUAAACUACAAGAUGCAUAAAUUUAUGAUCCUAACUGCGCUAUGGAAGAGUGCUGCCCAGAGCUGCUUGAAAGAGUCAAGCAAGCAUGAUAGAAAAGAGCUGAGAUGCGGAGACAAACUAAAGCGCUCUCAGGGCCAGAUUAUUAAGUACAUGUAAUUAAAGGGCAGGAAAGGAGGACUACUGCAUGUAGUGCAAAUGCAGCCUAAAAAACCCCCAAACAUUUCUGCAGCUGCAAUGAUUCAGUACCAGUGGACACCGUGUGCUUCUUUUAAUCAAAACCAGAGGAGACGGGGUGAUGCAAUUAGAGGAAGAAACAGAUUCACAAAAUCCAAUCAGGUUUUUUUUUUUUAGCAUUUGAGAGAAAGAUGGCACAGCUAUGUGGAUGAGUAUGACCAACGUGGUGCUGGUUUAUGAAAUAUUAGUCAAAUACAACUUAAAGAGCACGGCUGCCUACAACAGUGCUGUUAAAGGAUUUUGAUAAGUUAAGCGAAAAAAAACCUGAAUUUGACCAGCACCCAGACACAAAAUGAGGGAAAAAAUUUGUUUAUUUUAAAUAAAAUUUAAACACGCAGUUAAAAAUAAAUGUAAAUAUGUCUGGUCUGUUUUGCAUGGGUGGAGUUCAGAGAAUGUGAUUUACAAAUGUACACAUGUCACCGAGUAAUCUACAUCAACUACAGUGACUUAUUACAAAGACCAAGUGCAAGUUGGGGACGGGACGCAAUUUGGCACAGGAACUGAGGUUAAAAGAGGAAAGAUAGCGCAAUAAGGCCUUGUAUGUACAGGAACAUGCUUCAGGUAAAAUACAUCCACCUCUGUUAGUGAAUGUGUCUGUACAUACAUUUACACUAUGUACUGAUUGUUCUCUUGUUGGUGUGGCAGCAAGCUCUGCUCACCACCGACUACAUCCUAAUACUGAUUCAGAUGGAUGUGAACAGAACUGAAACAUAAACAAAACAAACCUUUUGUUAAGGAUUGGCUGCUGCUUUGAAUCAAGUAUUUCUUAAUAAGAGCUGAUGUGUGCUAUUUACUCUUCACAGGCUCAGAUGGUUCAGAUUUCUGACUGUAAAACAACAGAACAGAACAAAUGAAUAGCAAAAACCUUUAGAUGACCAAAAAAAAGUCAAUGUGUUGGGUUAUUUUCCACCAAACUCCACAGAGACAACUCACUGGAAGAGCCACCAUCUCUCUGUUUCAGUGUCAACUCUGUUGUACCUUCAUCUCUCUUAUUACUGUGACUACCAGUAACAGUCACUUUGUCACGUGUACCACUCAUUCAUGCCAUUCCUCACUGGCAGUUAAAAUGAGAUUUUCUGAGCAAAUUUCAUGCGCCAUCUUUCCCCUAAAACAAAGCUUUCGACACAGUCGUUUUAAAAUCUACCACCCUUUUUCCUCUGUACGUGCAUCAGCUGUGUCUAAGAAUCCUGAGCAAAUAAUUAGAAAUGUGCACUCUAUUCUCAGAAAACCCAAGUUUAAAAAUCCAGUCAUGCAAUUCACACUAAUCUGUUUCUCAUCAGCUGAGAAAAACAAAACAAAACACAUUGUCCUCUAAGCUUUCCCUCUUUUGCUAGAACUACACAUUUAGCUGCCUGAGGAGUGUGAAAUGGUGAGCGAAAUCAUUAACCACAGCAGGCUUUAAAACAGAAUCAGUGACAAUAAAUAAAACUUAAAAAAAAUUUAAAAAAAGACUUGAAAUGAAGCUGGUUUUUGUUCAAAGGGAGUGUGAAUAUAGAUUUGCCAAAUCUCCUGGUGCUGCCAUGCUCAUGCCCCACUUAUCUCUGACACAGUCCAACCGACCCACACAGUCCCACUACCGGCUCUUGUUAAAAUGGGAGCUUCUUCAGCUGCUCAAAGGUGAUGAAGAACUGAGAAGUAUGUUAAGGAAACAGACAGUGGAUUGGCAGAUACAAAUACUUCAAUGCAUUUACCUUGCAAAAAAAAGUUGGUAUUCAAAUUGCACCAAUGAAAACACUGACAGAGGGCAUCAUUGCCUGCACUACGAUGGUUCAUGGGGUAGGCUGAAAAAACUCACCGAGUCCAUUACU